UUGUUCGGAAUUACUGGGCGUAAAGGGCGCGUAGGCGGCCUUCUAAGUCGAACGUGAAAUCCCCGGGCUCAACCCGGGAACUGCGUCCGAUACUGGGAGGCUUGAAUCCGGGAGAGGGAUGUGGAAUUCCAGGUGUAGCGGUGAAAUGCGUAGAUAUCUGGAGGAACACCGGUGGCGAAGGCGGCAUCCUGGACCGGUACUGACGCUGAGGCGCGAAAGCCAGGGGAGCAAACGGG
rnacentral:rRNA from 1 species